ACGGGAGGCAGCAGUGAGGAAUAUUGGUCAAUGGGCGAGAGCCUGAACCAGCCAAGUCGCGUGAAGGAAGAAGGUUCUAUGGAUUGUAAACUUCUUUUGUCUGAGGGUAAAGUGAGAGAUGCGUCUCUUAUUGCAAGUAUCAGACGAAUAAGCAUCGGCUAACUCCGUGCCAGCAGCCGCGGUAAUACGGAGGAUGCGAGCGUUAUCCGGAUUUAUUGGGUUUAAAGGGUGCGCAGGCGGCACGUUAAGUCAGCGGUGAAAUGUCGGGGCUCAACCCGGGCACUGCCGUUGAAACUGGCGAGCUUGAGUACGGAUGAAGUCGGCGGAAUGUGAUGUGUAGCGGUGAAAUGCUUAGAUAUGUCACAGAACACCGAUUGCGAAGGCAGCUGACUAAUCCGCAACUGACGCUCAGGCACGAAAGCGUGGGGAUCGAACAGGAUUAGAUACCCUGGUA
rnacentral:rRNA from 1 species